GACGAACGCUGGCGGCGUGCUUAACACAUGCAAGUCGAACGGAAAGGCCCUGCUUGCAGGGUACUCGAGUGGCGAACGGGUGAGUAACACGUGGGUGAUCUGCCCUGCACUUCGGGAUAAGCCUGGGAAACUGGGUCUAAUACCGCAUAGGAGCCAUUUUUAGUGUGAUGGUUGGAAAGUUUUUUCGGUGUAGGAUGAGCUCGCGGCCUAUCAGCUUGUUGGUGGGGUAAUGGCCUACCAAGGCGGCGACGGGUAGCCGGCCUGAGAGGGUGGACGGCCACAUUGGGACUGAGAUACGGCCCAGAAUCCUUAGGGGGGGAGCAGUGGGGAAUAUUGCACAAUGGGCGCAAGCCUGAUGGAGCGACGCCGCGUGGGGGAUGACGGCCUUCGGGUUGUAAAAUCCUUUCGCUAGGGACGAAGCUUUUUGUGACGGUACCUAGAUAAGAAGCACCGGCUAACUACGUG
rnacentral:rRNA from 1 species